CAGGUACACCUUGCGAUGUGUCAGAUGAGGACUCUCGUCCUGCCCAGAAGUGCCGGCCUUGGCCUGGAGAGCCUGCUUUCUGGCUGGCCUUCUCCACCUCUCUGCUCCCAUCUCCUGAUGGAAAAUGAUUGCAGAAAAGGAGAGGACAUCAGCUUCUUCUGGGAGCGGUCCUAGACACCAGGAGUGAUAUAAACCAAGGAGGUGUAGCUUGCACAUCUGAAGCUUUGCCCUGCAAGGUACUAUUGAUCCUAACUGGUGUGGAGGGAAAGCAACAAGUGUACC